GAUGAACGCUGGCGGCGCGCCUAACACAUGCAAGUCGAACGGAGUGGCGAACGGCUGAGUAACACGUUGGCAACCUCCCCUCCUCUUGGAGAUAGCCCAGGGAAACAGGGAUAAUAACAGAUAGAGAAGGAUGGUGCGCGGACUGUUAGCUUGUUGGUGGGGUAGAGGCCUACCAAGGCAAUGAUGGGUAGCUGGGUUGAGAGACCGACCAGCCAGCUUGGGACUGAGGCACGGAGCAGACUCCUACGGGAGGCAGCAGUGGGGAGUCUUGCACAAUGGGCGAAAGCCUGAUGCAGCGACGCCGCGUGCGGGACGAAGGCCUUCGGGUUGUAAACCGCUUUCAGCAGGGACGCGGUACCUGCAGAAGAAGCCCCGGCUAACUACGUGCCAGCAGCCGCGGUAAUAC
rnacentral:rRNA from 1 species